rnacentral:rRNA from 1 species
CUCAUUAAAUCAGUUAUAGUUUAUUUGAUGGUCUCUUUUGUCUUUUUUACCUACUUGGAUAACCGUGGUAAUUCUAGAGCUAAUACAUGCGCAAGGUCCCGACGCGCGGGGGGCGAGGCUUCACGGCUCUAUUCUUGCAUGCGUAGAGGGAUGUAUUGAUUAGGUUAAACAACCAGCAUCUUUUCAUUUCUGGUGAUUCAUAGUAACUCUUUCGGAUCGCAUUCAUG